rnacentral:rRNA from 1 species
GUAAGUUGUGAAGGGCGCACGGUGGAUGCCUAGGCGCCAAGCACCGAAGAAGGACGUGGCCAGCUGCGAAAAGCUGCGGGGAGCUGCAAGCAAGCAUAGAUCCGCAGAUAUCCGAAUGGGGGAACCUGGCGGUCGACAGUCGACCGUCGCCUCGGACUGAAUCCAUAGGUUCGAGAGCGGGAACCUGGGGAACUGAACCAUCUCAGUACCUGGAGGAAGAGAAAGAAACAUCGAUUCCCUGAGUAGUGGCGAGCGAAAGGGGAAGAGCCUAAACCCUGCCUGAUGUCGAAGCCUGGAGGCGUUGUCGGCGGGGGGUCGUGGGAUCAUCCGUUCUGGGGCUCCAGACCUGGGGACGGGGAUUGUGGUCAAUCUAGCUGAAGCGGUCUGGAACGGCCGGCCGGAGAAGGUGAUAGCCCUGUAGGCGACAGAUUGAGCACCCUGUGGGAUGACACCCGAGUACUACCGGAUCUGGGAAAGCCGGUGGGAAUUUGCGUGGACCGUCACGUAAGGCUAAACAUGUCUUGGCGACCGAUAGUGGAGCAGUACCGUGAGGGAAAGGUGAAAAGCAUGCCGACGAGGCAAGUGAAAGAGAACCUGAAACCGUGUGCCUGCAAGCAGUGAGAGGGCUAUGCCAUGCCGCGAGGUGUGGAAUGCCUGAUCGCGUGCCUAUGGAAGAAUGAUCCGACGAGUUACCCAGUGUAGCGAGGUUAAGCCGGGAAUGGCGGAGCCGGAGCGAAAGCGAGUCUGAAGAGGGCGCUAGUUGCGCUGGGUAGACCCGAAACCAGGUGAGCUACCCUUGGUCAGGAUGAAGCGUGGGUAACACCACGUGGAGGUCCGCAUGCCUCAACGUUGAAAAGUUGAGCAAUGAACUGUGGGUAGGGGUGAAAAGCCAAUCGAACCUGGAGAUAGCUGGUUCUCCCCGAAAUAGUUUUAGGACUAGCCUCGGAGGAAGACUGAUGGGGGUAGAGCGCUGGAUGGGCUAGGGGGCAUACCAGCUUACCAAACCCAACCAAACUUCGAAUACCAUCAGUUAUUAUCCGGGAGUCAGGCAGUGGGGGAUAAGCUUCAUUGCCGCGAGGGAAAGAGCCCAGAACGUCGGUUAAGGUCCUGAAGUGCGUGCUGAGUGGGAAACGAUGUGGAGAUCCCUAGACAGCCAGGAUGUUGGCUUAGAAGCAGCCAUUCAUUCAAAGAGUGCGUAAUAGCUCACUGGUCGAGGGUCUCUGCGCGGAAAAUGUAACGGGGCUAAGCACGCCACCGAAACCACGUCUUGCGUGGUGGUUCGCCGCCAUGCAGGGGUAGGGGAGCGUUCUGCGGGUAGGAUGAAGGCAUACCGUGAGGAGUGCUGGACGAAGCAGAAAUGAGAAUGUCGGAACGAGUAGCGAUAAGACAGGUGAGAAACCUGUUCGCCGUAAGCCUAAGGUUUCCUGGGGAAGGUUAAUCCUCCCAGGGUCAGUCGGUCCUAAGCUGAGGUCGAGACGACGUAGGUGAAGGGAAACUGGUUAAUAUUCCGUACCAUGGAUAUCCUGUUCGAUCGAGGGAGUGACGCAGGAGGGUAUGUCCGCAUGGGUAGACCGCCCAUGUCGAAGGGUGUAGGGAGGCCGCAUAGGGAAAUCCGUGCGGUCGUUGAACUGAGGCCCGACAGGCCCCCGAAGUGAGUAGGGGGAAGGAGCAGAUCCCAAGCUGCCGAGAAAAGCUUCUCAGAGAGGGGUAUCCGUGACCGUACCGUAAACCGACACAGGUGGGCGAGGAGAGAAUCCUCAGGCGCUCGAAAGAACCCACGUUAAGGAACUCGGCAAAUUGACACCGUAACUUCGGGAGAAGGUGUGCUCCGGUAGGGUGACUGGAACGGUUUUGAGCAAUCGGAGCCGUCGAAGGGUAGCCCGAGGGAGUCGCAGAGAAUAGGCUCAGGCGACUGUUUAUCAAAAACACAGGACUCUGCCAAGGCGAAUAGCCGACGUAUAGGGUCUGACGCCUGCCCAAUGCUGGAAGGUUACGGGGAGGGGUCAGGAGGGGUGACUCUCCGAAGCUCCGAACUUAAGCCCCAGUGAAUGGCGGCCGUAACUAUAACGGUCCUAAGGUAGCGAAAUCCCUUGUCGGGUAAGUUCCGACCCGCAUGAAUGGCGUAACGGUCUGAGCACUGUCUCAACGUGGGGUUCGGCGAAACUGUGAACCGGGUGAAGACGCCUGGUAUCCGCGUCAGGACAAAAAGACCCCGUGGAGCUUUACUGUAGCUUGAUAUUGGAUUUUGGCCUUAUAUGUAGAGGAUAGGUAGGAGGCUAUGAACCUAGGGCGCCAGCCUUGGGGGAGCCGACGGUGGAAUACUACCCUUAUGAGUCUGGAAUUCUAACCUGGGCCGGUUGAUCCCGGUCGGGGACAGUGUCAGGCGGGCAGUUUGACUGGGGCGGUCGCCUCCCAAAGCGUAACGGAGGCGUCCAAAGGUUCCCUCAGCGUGAUUGGAAACCACGCGGAGAGUGCAAAGGCAAAAGGGAGCUUGACUGUGAGGCAGACGAGCCGAGCAGGGACGAAAGUCGGGCUUAGUGAUCCGGUGGUACCGAAUGGAAGGGCCAUCGCUCAACGGAUAAAAGCUACCCCGGGGAUAACAGGCUUAUCUCCCCCAAGAGUUCAUAUCGACGGGGAGGUUUGGCACCUCGAUGUCGGCUCAUCGCAUCCUGGGGCUGGAGUAGGUCCCAAGGGUUGGGCUGUUCGCCCAUUAAAGCGGUACGUGAGCUGGGUUCAGAACGUCGUGAGACAGU